CAAAACACAUUGCAGGAUAGCACUAACUCUGAAAUUUCAUCUGGAGGCAUUUCUGCUGUGUUGUGCUUGGGCAAAAUGCUGAAGAAACUUUUAGAUGACUAUGGCACUCUUCUGUACAAGUCGACUGAAGGCAAUUUUGCCGAGAGAGACAUUCAGUUAGAGGAUAUCAAGCCAUCUAAGGAUGCCUCUAAAUCGGACACUGGUGCAUACGAGAAAGAGAUGGAACUAAAUUCUUUAAAUAACGAGUUAGAUCAUGCUCACAACAAUCUGGCCUUAGCGCAACAGGAGUGUGAUGAAGCUGUGGAGAAGGCACAAUCACUAAUGAUGGAAAUUGAGACCUUACAUGCUCAAAUAAGUAAAUUGCAGGAAAGUGAUGCUGAACAAAUGCAAAAGAAAGAGAUGGAACUAAAUUCUUUAAAUAACGAGUUAGAUCAUGCUCGUAACAAUCUGGCCUUAGUGGAGCAGGAGCGUGAUGAAGCUGUGGAGAAGGCACAAUCACUAAUGAUGGAAAUUGAGACCUUACAUGCUCAAAUAAGUAAAUUGCAGGAAAGUGAUGCUGAACAGAUGCAAAAAUAUCAGUCGCUUGUCCUUGAACUAGAAAGUGUGGGUAAGCAACGGGACAAUCUACAGGAGCGGUUAAAU
rnacentral:lncRNA from 1 species